UACGUAGGUGACCAGCGUUGUCCGGAUUUACUGGGCGUAAAGAGCGCGCAGGCGGUCGUUCAAGUCGAGUGUGAAAGCCCCCGGCUCAACUGGGGAGGGUCACUCGAUACUGAUCGACUUGAAGGCAGGAGAGGGAAGCGGAAUUCCAGGUGUAGCGGUGAAAUGCGUAGAUAUCUGGAGGAACACCGGUGGCGAAGGCGGCAUCCUGGACCGGGAUUGACACUGAGGCGCGAAAGCCAGGGGAGCAAACGGG
rnacentral:rRNA from 1 species